rnacentral:rRNA from 1 species
UACGUAGGUCCCGAGCGUUGUCCGGAUUUAUUGGGCGUAAAGCGAGCGCAGGUGGUUUAUUAAGUCUGGUGUAAAAGGCAGUGGCUCAACCAUUGUAUGCAUUGGAAACAGGUAGACUUGAGUGCAGGAGAGGAGAGUGGAAUUCCAUGUGUAGCGGUGAAAUGCGUAGAUAUAUGGAGGAACACCGGUGGCGAAAGCGGCUCUCUGGCCUGUAACUGACACUGAGGCUCAAAAGCGUGGGGAGCAAACAGG